UACGGGGGGGGCAAGCGUUGUUCGGAAUUACUGGGCGUAAAGCGCGCGUAGGCGGCUUUUCAAGUCGAGUGUGAAAGCCCCCGGCUCAACUGGGGAGGGUCACUCGAUACUGAUCGACUUGAAGGCAGGAGAGGGAAGCGGAAUUCCCGGUGUAGUGGUGAAAUGCGUAGAUAUCGGGAGGAACACCAGUGGCGAAGGCGGCUUCCUGGCCUGUUCUUGACGCUGAGGCGCGAAAGCUAGGGGAGCAAACGGG
rnacentral:rRNA from 1 species